rnacentral:tmRNA from 1 species
CCUAUUGGACCCGGGGGCGGUACCCGGCGCCUCCACCAGAACACAAGAUGCUUCGGAAGCAAGUUGUGUUGUGGCGGGGGCGAAAUAGGAUCGACAAGGGUGUAAAGAUCGCUCUUUUGCUCGGCAUGAUACCACCGUUAUCGGGUCAAUUGAGUAGUUGCAAAUGACAACAAAGCUCAGGGUUACGCUCUCGCUGCCUAAUGGCGGUGCGGGAAACCCACUCUAAAGCCCUUAGGGUUAGCACCUUAAGGCGGGGUUCGGAGGCACCUGGCAACAGAAGCCUCCACUUUCC